rnacentral:lncRNA from 1 species
CUGUGACACAGACAUUAUUUGGUGAUUUAUCUAAUGGACUGGAAAUCCCAAUAAAAGAGAGCUCAUAUCAAAGGUGAUGAAAGAAAAUGUUCAAAAUGUCAGCAACAAGGUGACUCCUGUUGUUUGUGUCUUCCUAAAUCAGAGGAUUAAUAUGUUAGCAUGAUGCAAAUGCAUAUUUUUUUUCAGUAUUAAAAAUCAUGCUUUAAUUCAAUUUCUUCUGUUGAUUUUUGUUCCACAAAUGACAUCUGGGAUGGUUUUGUAUAUCCUCAUUUUAAAACUGAAAUUCUUUGACUAUUUUACAGCACUUCUUUGCAGCAGAGAGAGUUCUCUGCAGCUCUUUCUGUGGGCAGAGAGCAUGAGUAGAUGGUCUCCACUCAACCUUGCUGUGAGUACUUAGUUACCCCAUUAGGGACGGGCAGAUCAGAAUAAUACAGUGAACCACACUGAUCUCUGUUAUAACUGCACAUAGAAACUGUACAGAAAAUCUUGCUUUCCUGUGUACUGUCAGGAUCCAGGAAGAGUUGCUGAGGUUUUUGGUCAUCCUUUUUUUUUCCUUCCAGAAGAUCCCCUGGGCUGCUUUACUGUGUCACAUAACACAACAGUCUGGCCUUAGCAGGGUCAACAUCCUUAUCUUCUUGUAUGUCUCCUUAUCUGUGCUCCUGCACUCCUCCCCAUCUGUGGCAGAGAUGAUCUUUGGAAUUUCUGCAUCUUCCCACACAGUUAUUCAUUCCCAGAACUCCACCUUUUCCUCUGCUUUUUCUUUCCAAUUUUAAAACCAUAAAUUACUUCAAAUUUCUCUGAUGCUGCCUUGUGGAGGUGGUGGACUUUUUGAUUCAUAUUGGACUAAGUUAUUUUGAAAGCAAGAAGAGGAGACUGUUGAAAACAGGAAAUCUUCAUGAAAGAAAUGGCAGUAGUUGUAACAAUAUAUUCAAAAUUCCUAGUGUGAUAGACUUGCAGCAAGCUAAUGGAAAUUAUCCUCUUUUGGGUGGGAUGGAAUAAAACUAAUUGAAUUGAUUAUCGCGGUAUACGA